rnacentral:lncRNA from 13 species
AUUUAAAACCAUGUUACUGACAAAAGCUAAUUAACACCUUGUUACUGCCACAGCUAUUUAAAACCCUGUUACUGCCACAGCUAUUUAAAACCAUGUUAGUGCCACAGCUAUUUAAAACCAUGUUUCUGCCACAGGU